ACAACAUUAAGGCACUUAUGGUCUCGACAAUUAGAGUUAGGACUUAACUACCUAGAGUGUUAUUUUGGUGUUUAAGAAAAUAACUGACUGGUGAACCUUAACACCCCAUUUAUUAUACCCCAUCGAGGCUAAACAGAGCUGGUAGCAGUGGAGAGCCAGCCAUUUCUGAGAAAUUUGAAAACCAUAGUAAUGAGACCGUAAACAGGCAGACAAAUCAAAACUGUGUACUGUACAGACAAUAGGAAACUGCUUCAACAUUUAUGAAAUAUAAGAAGUUUGAUAUUUAAUGAUUUUGAAAGUGUUAUCUUGAAACUGUUCCAUCAUUUGUGUGCAUAAAGCUUAAGACAUACAGAGAACACAAGAAAGUGUAAACUGGAACAACAGCUAUUAUUGGAAGAAAUAGUCAAGAGUGAAUUUUCCUGUAAAGGUUCAAAGGCUAACACACCAUUAGAGACAGUUUGUGAUCUUCUGGGUGUGUUUGUCUUGCUCAGCGGUGCUACACUAUUUAGGUGAGUCUGUCUGUCGUGGGAGAGUCAUACUGUAGAGUCGUCAUACCGCAGAGUCGUCAUACCGCAGAGUCGUCAUACCGUAGAGUCGUCAUUCCGUAGAGUCGUCAUACCGCAGAGUCAGUCAUACCGUAGAGUCGUCAUAUUGUAAGUGUGGCUCUUUAUCUUGCUA